GAAAAGCGUAGUUUAUAUAUAAUAACAACACAAAUGACACCGGAUGCUUUACAUGAGAAGAGCACAUUACUACUGCUAUAGUCGAAACCGAUCCGUACAUCACAGUGACAUUACAAGAAAUUAAACACACAUAACACAUCUCUUAUUCUACGUAAUGACAUGAACUUAGCAAGCUAGUCAUUCAUGCAUGCAUGAUCAGAGCUAGUCAUUCAUGCAUGCAUGAUCAGUUUCAGUUGGGAAAUGGAAGUUUGUGAGGUGGCUUGACAGGGCCAGUUGGGGGCUUUAGUUUCCUCGGUGGCUUUGAUGGGUCUCUUCCACCCUCCACCACAUUCUGUUCAAGAUGGCGAUCGUGAUGAGGUGGCUUGUCUCCCUUGCCCUUAGGAGGCUGAUCAACUGGCUUGGGCUCUGGCUUGGGCUCUGGGAAUGGCUUGUGCUCAUCAAGUGGGGUUGGUGGCUUGGGUUUUGUGGGUGGCUUCGGCUUCUUUCCCUGAGGAGGCAAUUUCCCAUCCAAUGGCUCCUCUAGCAAACGAGUUCUGGUUUCUUGUUUGUGAUGAGGCGGUUUCUCACCCUUUGGAGGCUGAUCAACUGGCUUUGGUUCUGGCUUGGGCUCUGGCUUGGGCUCUGGGAAUGGCUUGUGCUCAUCAAGUGGGGUUGGUGGCUUGGGUUUUGUGGGUGGCUCCGGCUUCUUUCCCUGAGGAGGCAAUUUCCCAUCCAAUGGCUCCUCUAGCAAACGAGUUCUGGUUUCUUGUAUGUGAUGAGGCGGCUUCUCACCCUUUGGAGGCUGAUCAACUGGCUUUGGUUCUGGCUUGGGCUCGGGCUUGGGCUCUGGCUUGGGCUCUGGGAAUGGCUUGUGCUCAUCAAGUGGGGUUGGUGGCUUGGGUUUUGUGGGUGGCUUCGGCUUCUUUCCCUGAGGAGGCAAUUUCCCAUCCAAUGGCUCCUCUAGCAAACGAGUUCUGGUUUCUUGUUUGUGAUGAGGCGGCUUCUCACCCUUUGGAGGCUCGUCGUUGCCCGGGUUUCCUUUGUGCUCUGGUGGUGGCUUCUCUCCUUUUCUUGGUGGCUCAUCUCUUGGGUGUCCUGGUUCAUGCUCAGGUGGUGGUUUCUCUCCUUUUCUCGGUGGCUCAUCUCCCGGGUGCUCAGGUGGUGGCUUCUCAUCCUUGUGAGGCUCAUCACCUGGUUUCUCCUUUGGUGGUGGCUUUUGUCCCUUAGGAGGCUCAUUGUUCUCUGGUGGAGGCUUUUUUCCCUUUGGAGGCUCAUUGUUCUCUGGUGGAGGCUUCUUUCCCUUUGGAGGCUGGUCAUUGCGCUCUGGUGGUGGCUUUUGUACCUGGGGAGGCUGGUCAUUGCGCUCUGGAGGUGGCUUUUCUCCCUUGGGAAAUUGGCCCUCCACCUCUAACAAAUGGUGUUCGUUGUGGGGUGGCUUGUCAACUGGUGGAGGCUUGUAAAUUGGGGGUACGGAAAUUGGAGGCUUGUAGAUUUGUGGCUUUGGGUCAUGGUUAUCAGCAAGAGAAGGAGUUGUGGUGGUGAAAGCCACCACUCCAAGAAGAAACACUAGCAAGUAUUUGGAAGACAUCUUUGGGCUCUUAGAA
rnacentral:lncRNA from 1 species